rnacentral:rRNA from 1 species
AGCGAACGCUGGCGGCAGGCCUAACACAUGCAAGUCGAACGAAGUCUUCGGACUUAGUGGCGGACGGGUGGGCAACACGUGGGAACGUGCCUUUAGGUUCGGAAUAACUCAGGGAAACUUGUGCUAAUACCGAAUGUGCCCUUCGGGGGAAAGAUUUAUCGCCUUUAGAGCGGCCCGCGUCUGAUUAGCUAGUUGGUGAGGUAAAGGCUCACCAAGGCGACGAUCAGUAGCUGGUCUGAGAGGAUGAUCAGCCACAUUGGGACUGAGACACGGCCCAAACUCCUACGGGAGGCAGCAGUGGGGAAUCUUGCGCAAUGGGCGAAAGCCUGACGCAGCCAUGCCGCGUGAAUGAUGAAGGUCUUAGGAUUGUAAAAUUCUUUCACCGGGGACGAUAAUGACGGUACCCGGAGAAGAAGCCCCGGCUAACUUCGUGCCAGCAGCCGCCGUAAUAC